AACGUACGCUGGCGGCACGCUUAACACAUGCAAGUCGAACGAAGUAGCAAUACUUAGUGGCAGACGGGUGAGUAACAUGUGGGUAUCUGCCCUUUGGCCUGGAAUAACACGAGGAAACUUGUGCUAAUACCGGAUAAGUCUUUACGGAGAAAGCUUUAUGCACCAUUGGAUGAGCCCGCACUUGAUUAGUUUGUUGGUGGGGUAAUGGCCUACCAAGACUGUGAUCAAUAGCUGAUUUGAGAGGAUGAUCAGCCACAUUGGGACUGAGACACGGCCCAAACUCCUACGGGAGGCAGCAGUGGGGAAUCUUGCACAAUGGAGGAAACUCUGAUGCAGCGAUGCCGCGUGAGUGAAGAAGGCCCUUGGGUUGUAAAGCUCUUUCGUCGGGGAAGAAAAUGACUGUACCCGAAUAAGAAGGUCCGGCUAACUUCGUGCCAGCAGCCGCGGUAAUACGAAGGGACCUAGCGUAGUUCGGAAUUACUGGGCUUAAAGAGUUCGUAGGUGGUUGAAAAAGUUAGUGGUGAAAUCCCAGAGCUUAACUCUGGAACUGCCACUAAAACUUUUCAGCUAGAGUAUGAUAGAGGAAAGCAGAAUUUCUAGUGUAGAGGUGAAAUUCGUAGAUAUUAGAAAGAAUACCAAUUGCGAAGGCAGCUUUCUGGAUCAUUACUGACACUGAGGAACGAAAGCAUGGGUAGCGAAGAGGAUUAGAUACCCUCGUAGUCCAUGCCGUAAACGAUGUGUGUUAGACGUUGGAAAUUUAUUUUCAGUGUCGCAGCGAAAGCGAUAAACACACCGCCUGGGAAGUACGACCGCAAGGUUAAAACUCAAAUGAAUUGACGGGGACCCGCACAAGUAGUGGAGCAUGUGGUUUAAUUCGAAGAUACGCGCAGAACCUUACCAACACUUGACAUGUUCGUCGCGACUCUAAGAGAUUAGAGUUUUCGGUUCGGCCGGACGAAACACAGGUGCUGCAUGGCUGUCGUCAGCUCGUGUCGUGAGAUGUUGGGUUAAGUCCCGCAACGAGCGCAACCCUCACUUUUAGUUGCCAUCAUUAAGUUGGGCACUCUGAAAGAACUGCCAGUGAUAAGCUGGAGGAAGGUGGGGAUGACGUCAAGUCCUCAUGGCCCUUACGUGUUGGGCUACACACGUGCUACAAUGGUAUCUACAACAGGAAGCAAGACUGCGAGGUCAAGCAAAUCCUUAAAAGAUACCUCAGUUCGGAUUGCACUCUGCAACUCGAGUGCAUGAAGCUGGAAUUACUAGUAAUCGUGGAUCAGCGUGCCACGGUGAAUGCGUUCCCGGGUCU
rnacentral:rRNA from 1 species